GAAAGGACUGCGGCCUGAUCAUGCAGAGGUGCUUCCUAUUGCUCCAUUCAGAGGAACCAAGACCAGCCAGGACGAGGUUGUCCCCAAGAAGACAGGUGUGAUUGUCCAGAAGAUGUCUACCAUUACCAGCACACGUGUGUACUGAACAUCUUUGAGUUUGAAUGGGACUUGAUAAAAGCUGUGGAAGACGAGCAGCAGGGUGAUGGUCAUCUCUACCUCACCCAGAAAAUUCCUUUUUUCAAUUAGAAUAAACUACAAUGUUUCGGACUUCCUCGUGCAUCUACUUCACGACUCCUUUAAGAUGUAAAACUCAAGACUUCUGGACUUUUUUCAGAGAAAAAACACCAUCUUGUCUAUAAACAGUAAGUUAAUAACAAAUGUGGCUGAUCAAAUCUUCUCACUGUAGAUAUUCACAGACAGAAGAGAAUCCAUUUAAACAUGUUUCUUCAGUAUUUGUUGCCCAAUUGUUGAUUGAAGGUCAAGUUGGAUUUGGUCAAAUUGAU
ensembl:lncRNA